rnacentral:lncRNA from 1 species
GAAAAAAGAACAGGCGAAGUGGCAUAACAACACUUUAUUAAGUCUUUCACUGCCUUUCAUCCUGUACAUAUAAAGCACCGGCUCGCACGAGGCCUUUUGCAUGCCACACACAAGGCACCAAGCUAAGAAGAUAUGAUGUGAGCACACUUGUGAGCGCAAAACUCGUGGCAAAGAAUGAAGAUGGCCGUAAAAACCCUCAAUUUGAAAGCACGGAGAAACGAAACACUGUUUGGUCGGCUCACAACAAUCGGCACAUUUAAAUAACACUCUAUACACUCUCUCACUUGGGCACACCAGCACGGCAGCACACAGAAGGAAUGAAUGAGCUAAUUGUUAAUGUUUUGUUUCUGCACCUGAAUAUAAGCCACCUGCGGCACUUUUUUUUUCCACUUUAUGGCUGUCGGAUUUCUUGGCAGUAUAGUACCAUAAAAUGCAGUCCAUCGUUGGUUGCAAGGCCCCCGGCCAGCCACUAUGAUCGAUUCAGCCCACCACAAAAUGCUUUUAGAGCACAUUCAAAUCCUCUGAGCAAUUAAAAGACAAGUAAUGCAUUCGUAGACAAGGCAAUACAAGAAACUUCCAGAAGCUCUCUAGUAAAGAGUUGCAUCAAUUACAAAAGUGGCUCAAAACUGAACCUAUAUGCGGCUCAAAGGGGAAUGCUUAAAAGGAACUUUUUCGUUUUUUAGGUUAUGCUGACCCAAAGCCAAGAGAUUUCACGAUGCAACAAAUUCAGUGGGCAACACGGACGAGGCCAACAGAAAAAAAAAAA